AGAAGAUCUGUUUUCUCAACACCAUAUGGUUUUAAAUAGAGAAGAGACUCUUUGUCUGCUACAAGGACAGAUGUGAAGAAAGAUCCUACCAUUUUAUGUUCAUGUCAGAUGCAGAAUAUUGCAUGGCAUUGGAAGACAGGUGAGAUGAAAAUUGGAAGCAUUAAACUAGAAUUGCGUGUCAGAUGUUAAUAAACAAUGUAUUUUGACUCA